CCCGCAGAAAGACUUUGUUGGUCUCAACCUUUUCAAGGAAGACAAGAAAUGGUUGCUGAAAUGCUCUUAAAUUACUGUUGAUUGAAGAAGGGUGUAUGUGAACCUCUCUUCUUCCAUCAUACCAGACUGGAUGAACCUUUAUUGCAGAACUACUGGACUGUUUAAGGCUGUUGAUAGCUGUUGUGGUAAUGCCUUGUUCAGUGGCAGGAACAUUUGGGGAUAAUCCUGCACAUAAAAUUGCCUUCACAAUUGAGGAAUGAUGUGAAUACAUGUUGAAUGGCUGUGAUUUGUCUGACAACCAACCACCGAGAUUGUCUUUGUUUCUUCCUAUAAUCUGAUAAUUUUUUGGAAGAUUAAUAAACCCAAUGUCUGCUAGCAGCGUUCCAAAUUGUAUCCUCAUAUCUCUU
rnacentral:misc_RNA from 1 species